GGGAUUUAGGGCCUUCUCAGGCCUUCUCUCCCUCCCCCAUCUGUCUCACUGUCACCUCCCCACCUUUCUCUCUUUCUCUCUCUCUCUCUCUCUCUCUCUCUCUCUCUCUCUCUCUCUCUCCAAUAAUAAAAAGAUUAGUUAGGGAUUGGCAGGCAGUCACUUGAUUCGGUGUUGCAGGAGCAGACAGAUGGCUGAGGAGCAGCAGCUGAGGGAUCUCAUUACAGAGGCUUAAUCAGCACAACCAGGACUGGUCAGAAGCAGGUGGACCCAGUUACCUGCCCUGCGCUACCUGCAGCUACCUUCUAUCACCUUUAGCACCUCCUACCUCAGAACCCUGUUCCACGGUUCCACAGGCCUGGGGAUUCCCAGACAAGUCAUGGAGAAGGAGGAAGAAGAGGAAGAGAUCUUCACAGCCUGGCCUGCUGACGAUGAAGAGCCAGAAAGCCCAGAGGAGCUGGAUGAGGAGGAAGAAGAAGAAGAGGAAGAGGAGGCGGCGAGGAAGAGGAGCUUGGAUAUUCCCAGGCCGGGCCAACUAUUGGCCAAACGUAGGGCCUCUCUUCCAUGUCCGGCUCAGCUGAGCGUGAUGCACUUGACCCACCUGACCCAUCUGACCCGUCUGCACACAGCCACCAUGGCUCCUGCCCCAGCCCACCUUAGACACAGGUUAGACGGCAGUGAGCACCAUGACCAUUUCGGCGAAGAGGAUGAAGACAGACGUGUGUAUAAAAGACGGCCCAGUACCAUCCCGACCAUACCUGAGGUUCUGGAGCCACCUGAGAGAAAGGCGCGGUUCAGGAGCCGCAAUGUCAUGUCACUUGUAAGCCUAAUUUUAUUCUGGAUUCCCUAGAUUUUAAGGUUAUUUUUCAGUUAUUAAAAAGAGAUGUACCAGUCCAAUUCACAGAACCACCACAGAGCAACUAGUGUUAUUUGGUUAGUGGGUCAUUCUCAGCACUGCAGUGACACUGGUCUGGCAUGGUGGUGGUGUUUUAGUGUGUGUUUUGCUGGUAUGAGUGGAUCAGACUGGAGUAUUUAAGCACCUCAAUGUUACUUCUGUUGUGAGAAUAAUCCACCAACCAAGAAAUAUCCAGUCCUGUGGGCAGCGUCCAUUGCAGCAAAUAAUGAGCUUUUGUCUCUGACUUUACAACUACAAUAUUCAGCAGAUAGAUAGUGAAGCCAAUAGAGUGGACUCAGUGUUUAAAAACCUCAGCAGCACUGCUGUAUCUAAUUCACUUAUACCGGCACAACACACACUAACACCUCAUACACCACCAUGCCAGUGUCACUGCAUUGCUGAGAAUGACCCAGCACUCAAGAAAAUAGCUGCUCUGUUGGGUUCUGACCCCUGAAGAACAGGGAGAAAUUAGAAUAAUAAAGUAUGCAGAGAAACAGAAGGAAUACA
rnacentral:lncRNA from 1 species